rnacentral:rRNA from 1 species
GACGGAGGGUGCUAGCGUUGUUCGGAAUCACUGGGCGUAAAGGGCGCGUAGGCGGCCUGGCAAGUGGAAGGUGAAAUCCCUCGGCUUAACCGAGGAACUGCCCUCCAAACUGCUUGGCUUGAGUCCGGGAGAGGUGAGUGGAAUUCCCAGUGUAGCGGUGAAAUGCGUAGAUAUUGGGAGGAACACCAGUGGCGAAGGCGGCUCACUGGACCGGAACUGACGCUGAGGCGCGAAAGCGUGGGGAGCAAACGGG